rnacentral:rRNA from 1 species
CUGCAUGAAGUCGGAAUUGCUGUAAUCGCGGAUCAGCAUGCCGCGGUGAAUACGUUCCCGGGCCUUGUACACACCGCCCGUCACACCAUGGGAGCCGGUAAUACCCGAAGUCAGUAGUCCAACCUCGUGAGGACGCUGCCGAAGGUAGGAUUGGCGACUGGGGUGAAGUCGUAACAAGGUACC